AACGAACGCUGGCGGUAUGCCUUACACAUGCAAGUCGAACGGUAGAGGGGCAACCCUUGAGAGUGGCGAACGGGUGAGUAAUACAUCGGAACGUGCCCAGUCGUGGGGGAUAACGUAGCGAAAGCUACGCUAAUACCGCAUACGACCUGAGGGUGAAAGCGGGGGAUCGCAAGACCUCGCGCGAUUGGAGCGGCCGAUGGCAGAUUAGGUAGCUGGUGGGGUAAAGGCCUACCAAGCCUGCGAUCUGUAGCUGGUCUGAGAGGACGACCAGCCACACUGGGACUGAGACACGGCCCAGACUCCUACGGGAGGCAGCAGUGGGGAAUUUUGGACAAUGGGCGAAAGCCUGAUCCAGCCAUACCGCGUGCGGGAAGAAGGCCUUCGGGUUGUAAACCGCUUUUGUCAGGGAAGAAAUCUUCUGGGCUAAUACCUCGGGAGGAUGACGGUACCUGAAGAAUAAGCACCGGCUAACUACGUGCCAGCAGCCGCCGUAAUAC
rnacentral:rRNA from 1 species